UACGUAGGGGGCGAGCGUUGUCCGGAGUUACUGGGCGUAAAGGGCACGCAGGCGGUGCGGCGCGUUUCGCGUGACAGCGGAGGGCUUAACUCUCCGAGGAUGCGAAAGACGGCGGCACUUGAGGGCCAGAGAGGGACACGGAAUUCCGGGUGGAGUGGUGAAAUGCGUAGAGAUCCGGAGGAACACCGAAGGCGAAGGCAGUGUCCUGGCUGGUGACUGACGCUGAGGCGCGAAAGCGUGGGGAGCAAACAGG
rnacentral:rRNA from 1 species